GUCGAUAGAUAGCUUUGAAGAUUUGGGGGGAGGGGGGGAAUCUAUGUACAAAUACAGCUUGAAACACAGAAAGAAGUGAGUUUUAAAGGAAAAUAUUCACUCUCACUACCCCUGUCCAGGAAGAAAAGUGCUGAUCUGCAGCUUCCAGUCCGCUAAACUGGAGAGUAGAGGCUGCCUGAUCCAAGCCCAGCCAGUGUUGGUCUCCCCAAGCAUUCCUACCUUGCAAAGGCAACUUCCAGAUAAGCUGAUCAAGAUUCUGGAACUACAAGUCGAACUAGUCCCUGGAGCAGAAGUAAAAUUCCAAACCUACGGUCCCAUCCAGCCUGUCCACAAAAUUACUAUAUUGAUGAUAGCAGCAGAUACUCAUGAGAGGUAUGACUUGUGUUUCCUCCAUACCUAAAUAAAAAAGAGAAAGGACCAUUCUGGUUUCUCUGGAGAUUAAAUAGCAAAAGGAGGGCUUGAUUUGAUUAAUAAAUCUAGAUAUCCUAUGGAUUUUGUAAUGAUAUGCUUUGACAUUUAUAUCUAAGUAGUUCAUUUUUGCGAAAAAUCAAUAAAAUGGUUUUUCAAGCAGA